GGGAGUACGGCCGCAAGGUUAAAACUCAAAUGAAUUGACGGGGGCCCGCACAAGCGGUGGAGCAUGUGGUUUAAUUCGAUGCAACGCGAAGAACCUUACCUACUCUUGACAUCCAGCGAAUCCUGUAGAGAUACGGGAGUGCCUUCGGGAACGCUGAGACAGGUGCUGCAUGGCUGUCGUCAGCUCGUGUUGUGAAAUGUUGGGUUAAGUCCCGCAACGAGCGCAACCCUUAUCCUUUGUUGCCAGCGGUUCGGCCGGGAACUCAAAGGAGACUGCCAGUGAUAAACUGGAGGAAGGUGGGGAUGACGUCAAGUCAUCAUGGCCCUUACGAGUAGGGCUACACACGUGCUACAAUGGCGUAUACAAAGAGAAGCGAACUCGCGAGAGCAAGCGGACCUCAUAAAGUACGUCGUAGUCCGGAUUGGAGUCUGCAACUCGACUCCAUGAAGUCGGAAUCGCUAGUAAUCGUGGAUCAGAAUG
rnacentral:rRNA from 1 species